GAUGAACGCUAGCUACAGGCUUAACACAUGCAAGUCGCGGGGCAGCAUGGGGGUUGCUUGCCAUCCCCGAUGGCGACCGGCGCACGGGUGAGUAACGCGUAUUCAACCUGCCCUUCACCACGGGAUAACCCGGCGAAAGUCGGACUAAUACCGUAUGUUGUCCAUUGACGGCAUCCGAUUUGGACGAAAGGCUUGGCGGUGAGGGAUGGGGAUGCGUCCGAUUAGCCAGACGGCGGGGUAACGGCCCACCGUGGCUACGAUCGGUAGGGGUUCUGAGAGGAAGGUCCCCCACACUGGAACUGAGACACGGUCCAGACUCCUACGGGAGGCAGCAGUGAGGAAUAUUGGUCAAUGGGCGUAAGCCUGAACCUGCCAAGUAGCGUGCAGGAUGACGGCCCUAUGGGUUGUAAACUGCUUUUAUGCGGGGAUAAAGUGGCCCACGUGUGGGCUUUUGCAGGUACCGCAUGAAUAAGGACCGGCUAAUUCCGUG
rnacentral:rRNA from 1 species